rnacentral:misc_RNA from 1 species
GAUGAGAACGUAGCGAAAUGCGAUAAGUAAUGUGAAUUGCAGAAUUCAGUGAAUCAUCGAAUCUUUGAACGCACCUUGCACCCUUUGGCAUUCUGAAGGGUAUGCUCGUUUGAGUGUCAUUGUACUCUCACACUCCCGAUCUUUGCAUUGGGAGCAGUGGACUUGGGUUUGCUGCUUCACCGUCGCUUACCUCAAAUAGGUUAGUGCAACUCUUGGUUGGACAUAGUACGGCGUGAUAAGUGUUCUUCGCCGGUGCCUCGCAAAGAGGGUGGCCGAUCGGGAUGUUGUGCUCCAAACCGUCUUCGGACAAUCUCUGACGACUUGACCUCAAAUCGAGUAAGACUACCCGCUGAACUUAAGCAUAUCAAUAAGCGGAGGA